rnacentral:rRNA from 1 species
UGGGUAACCUGCCUCAAAGAGGGGAAUAGCCUCCCGAAAGGGAGAUUAAUACCGCAUAAUAUGUUUAAGUCGCAUGACUUUAACAUCAAAGGAUUUUCUUUUAGAAAUUCCACUUUGAGAUGGACCCGCGGCGCAUUAGCUAGUUGGUGAGGUAACGGCUCACCAAGGCAACGAUGCGUAGCCGACCUGAGAGGGUNAUCGGCCACAUUGGGACUGAGACACGGCCCAGACUCCGUAGGNGG